UACGUAGGGGGCGAGCGUUGUCCGGAUUCAUUGGGCGUAAAGCGCUUUAAGGCGGUUCGGUAAGUCGGGUGUGAAACCUCCAGGCUCAACCUGGAGACGCCACUCGAUACUGCUGUGACUAGAGUUCGGUAGGGGAUCACGGAAUUCCUGGUGUAGCGGUGAAAUGCGCAGAUAUCAGGAGGAACAUCAGUGGCGAAGGCGGCUACCUGGCCCAAUACUGACACUCAGGUGCGACAGCGUGGGGAGCAAACAGG
rnacentral:rRNA from 1 species